rnacentral:rRNA from 1 species
GACGAACGCUGGCGGCGUGCUUAACACAUGCAAGUCGAGCGGUAAGGCCCUUUCGGGGGUACAUGAGCGGCGAACGGGUGAGUAACACGUGGGUGACCUGCCCUCAGCUCUGGGAUAAGCCUGGGAAACCGGGUCUAAUACUGGAUAUGACUCCAUGACGCAUGUUGUGGGGUGGAAAGCCUUGUGCGGCUGAGGAUGGGCCCGCGGCCUAUCAGCUUGUUGGUGGGGNGAUGGCCUACCAAGGCGACGACGGGUAGCCGGCCUGAGAGGGCGACCGGCCACACUGGGACUGAGACACGGCCCAGACUCCUACGGGAGGCAGCAGUGGGGAAUAUUGGACAAUGGGCGCAAGCCUGAUCCAGCGAUGCCGCGUGUGUGAAGAAGGCCUGCGGGUUGUAAAGCACUUUCAGUAGGGAAGAAAGCCGAGUGCUAAUAUCAUUCGGUCUUGACGUUACUUACAGAAGAAGCACCGGCUAACUCCGUGCCAGCCGCCGCC